rnacentral:rRNA from 1 species
AGGACGAACGCUGGCGGCGUGCUUAACACAUGCAAGUCGAACGGAAGUAGAAAUACUUAGUGGCGGACGGGUGAGUAACGCGUGAGCAACCUGCCCUUAUCAGGGGGAUAACACAGAGAAAUUUGUGCUAAUACCGCAUAACGUUGCGAAUAGGCAUCUAAUUGCAACCAAAGAUUUAUCGGAUAAGGAUGGGCUCGCGUCCCAUUAGGUAGUUGGUGAGGUAACGGCCCACCAAGCCGACGAUGGGUAGCCGAUCUGAGAGGAUGAACGGCCACAUUGGAACUGAGAGACGGUCCAGACUCCUACGGGAGGCAGCAGUGGGGAAUAUUGGGCAAUGGGCGCAAGCCUGACCCAGCAACGCCGCGUGAAUGAAGAAGGUUUUCGGAUUGUAAAGUUCUGUGAUGGGGGACGAAGAAAGUGACGGUACCCCAAUAGCAAGCUACGGCUAACUACGUGCCAGCCGCGGC